AGGUGGGACAGCUUUGUGCUCCGUGUGACCUCAUGUCUCCUCCGUCUCCUCAUUCGCUUUGAGUUUCUUCCAGAGAACGAGCAGAUCAGACAGUUCCUUCAGUCCUAGCCAUCCCUGGGAUAUUGGUCUUACCACACUGUGAGGCUGCUCAGGUCUUCCAUGCCACAGCAUGUCUGUCCACAUAUUGGACAAUGUGCCACACAGCUGCUCCUUUAAAGGAAGGUUACUUCUGUAGACUAAAAUAAAGAUUUUAUUACUUAUUCCUUUUACUUAAUCUGAACCUAGGAAACGUGUUCUAGAUUUAUCAGAUUAAAACAUUGUAGAACUUAUUCUGGAUAAUGUGUAAUGAGCGGUGUAACCUCCCGUUAGUUCCCUUCCUUUAGCCGGUCAGGAACUCUUGCAUGGUGACAGUUUUGGAGAUUUAAGCACUGGACUCUGCCCAUCUUGAUUGAAAACAGGCCUAUUUUAUGCACCCAUUCCACACAAUGCACUUCCCUUAGUCCCAAGCAGGAGGGGGCUGGGUAUCUCCUAGGGUGGGAAAUGGCUAACAGUACACAGGGAUACACAUGAAAACACAUUAUAUAUCAGCGUAGAAAGUCUGGAGCUUGAGGCUCUGUACAUCCCCGCAGUUAGUUCCAUGGUGUUGCUUCAUUUAGUCUGGCGAAAUCAAACCUCGCCACUCGGGGGAGGAAUGAGUUUCGACACCCAAUCCGAAGAAAGGGCACGAAACUCUGUUGCACCAAUCAAUGUUCGGGGAGGAGAGGGGUUUCGCGGCCCAAUCAGAAGACGUGGUGCAAAACCUGAUUGUACCAAUCCGCUGAAAGGUGUGAAACCAAUUUGCGCUAAUCAGCGCCCAGGGACAAGACGGAUUUCGCCACCCAAUCAAAAUAAAGGGCGCAAAACCCUGUUUGAACGAGCGCUCCUUCUCGGAUUGGUCGCUUGUGCCCCGUAGAGGUCCAAUCAGCGCUCACUUGUGCCAACCACCCAGGAGAAUGGCGCAAACCCAGUUUGCAUGGGCGCUCUGUCUCCUAUUGGUCGGCACGAACUUCCAGGCAGCCAGCGGGGACUCUGAGGCCGUGAGACUGACUCACAGCUCCAGAGAUUGCCUGCUGGCGCGCGUCCCUCUCUCUGGUGUAUACCCCCACGCAGGUAUCCGCCGGAGAGAGCGUUCUCCUGGGCAGCUACGAGCCUAGAAGGGGUAACAGUGAUUACAGCUCCGUUGGGGAGCGGAUAGGAAGGUCCUCAACAUGGGGAUUGAACACAGUGCGUGCGGACUGGUUCGGGAGACUAAUGCUCCCCCUGGUGGCCGUUCGAUGAUACGAACCGGCGGCCACCCAGGGGAAACAAGGGGGGGAGAUGGG